rnacentral:rRNA from 1 species
AACGAACGCUGGCGGCAGGCUUAACACAUGCAAGUCGAGCGCAUCCUUCGGGGUGAGCGGCAGACGGGUGAGUAACGCGUGGGAACGUACCCUUUGCUACGGAAUAGCUCCGGGAAACUGGAAUUAAUACCGUAUGAGCCCUUCGGGGGAAAGAUUUAUCGGCAAAGGAUCGGCCCGCGUUGGAUUAGCUAGUUGGUGGGGUAAAGGCCUACCAAGGCGACGAUCCAUAGCUGGUCUGAGAGGAUGAUCAGCCACAUUGGGACUGAGACACGGCCCAAACUCCUACGGGAGGCAGCAGUGGGGAAUAUUGGACAAUGGGCGCAAGCCUGACCCAGCCAUGCCGCGUGAGUGAUGAAGGCCUUAGGGUUGUAAAGCUCUUUCAGUAGGGAAGAUAAUGACGGUACCUACAGAAGAAGCCCCGGCUAACUUCGUGCCAGCAGCCGCAGUAAAAC